rnacentral:rRNA from 1 species
UGGGGAAUAUUGCACAAUGGGCGAAAGCCUGAUGCAGCAACGCCGCGUGAGGGACGACGGCCUUCGGGUUGUAAACCUCUUUUAGCAAGGAAGAAGCGAAAGUGACGGUACUUGCAGAAAAAGCGCCGGCUAACUACGUGCCAGCAGCCGCGGUAAUACGUAGGGCGCAAGCGUUAUCCGGAAUUAUUGGGCGUAAAGAGCUCGUAGGCGGUUUGUCGCGUCUGCUGUGAAAACCCGAGGCUCAACCUCGGGCCUGCAGUGGGUACGGGCAGACUAGAGUGCGGUAGGGGAGAUUGGAACUCCUGGUGUAGCGGUGGAAUGCGCAGAUAUCAGGAAGAACACCGAUGGCGAAGGCAGAUCUCUGGGCCGUAACUGACGCUGAGGAGCGAAAGGGUGGGGAGCAAACAGGCUUAGAUACCCUGGUAGUCCACCCCGUAAACGUUGGGAACUAGUUGUGGGGUCCAUUCCACGGAUUCCGUGACGCAGCUAACGCAUUAAGUUCCCCGCCUGGGGAGUACGGCCGCAAGGCUAAAACUCAAAGAAAUUGACGGGGUCAUAGCUGUUUCCU